UACGUAGGAGGCAAGCGUUGUCCGGAGUUACUGGGCGUAAAGGGCGCGUAGGCGGCCUUGUCAGUCAGGCGUGAAAGCCCCGGGCUCAACCUGGGAACGGCGCUUGGGACGGCGAGGCUGGAGUUCGGGAGAGGAGAGUGGAAUUCCCAGUGUAGAGGUGAAAUUCGUAGAUAUUGGGAAGAACACCGGUGGCGAAGGCGGCUCUCUGGACCGACACUGACGCUGAGGCGCGAAAGCGUGGGGAGCAAACAGG
rnacentral:rRNA from 1 species